CUCCGGUGAUCCCUGCCGGACCCGACUGCUAUCGGAUUGAGAUUUAGCCAUGCGAGUCGAACGUUCCCCUGUUGCGGGGAGCGUGGCGUACGGCUCAGUAACACGUAGUCAACCUGCCCUGGAGACAAGGACAACCCCGGGAAACUGGGAUUAAUCCUUGAUAGGUCAUCUCAUCUGGAAGGAGAGAUGGCUUAAAGGGGUACGCGGGCUUCUUCCGCGAAUUCGCUCCAGGAUGGGACUGCGUCCGAUCAGGCUGUUGGCGGGGUAAUGGCCCACCAAACCUGUAACCGGUACGGGCCUUGAGAGAGGUGGCCCGGAGAUGGACACUGAGAGAAGGGUCCAGGUCCUACGGGGCGCAGCAGGCGCGAAACCUUCGCAAUGCGCGAAAGCGUGACGAGGUUAAUCCGAGUGACUCCCGCUGAGGGGGUCUUUUGUCAGCUGUAAAUAGGCAGGCGAAUAAGGGGAGGGCAAGCCUGGUGUCAGCCGCCGCGGUAAUACCAGCUCCUCGAGUGGUCGGGGCGAUUAUUGGGCCUAAAGCAUCCGUAGCCGGUUCCGUAGGUCCUCUGUUAAAUCCAACCGCUCAACGGUUGACCUGCAGAGGAUACCGCGGGACUAGGAGGCGGGAGAGGCGGACGGUACUCCGCGUGUAGGGGUAAAAUCCUUUGAUCCGCGGAAGACCACCAGUGGCGAAGGCGGUCCGCCAGAACGCGCUCGACGGUGAGGGAUGAAAGCUGGGGGAGCGAACCGGAUUAGAUACCCGGGUAGUCCCAGCCGUAAACGAUGCUAGCUAGAUGAUUCAUUCGCAAGUCGCGAAUGAAGUGUCGCAGGGAAGCCGUUAAGCUAGCCGCCUGGGGAGUACGGUCGCAAGACUGAAACUUAAAGGAUUGGCGGGGGAGCA
rnacentral:rRNA from 1 species